rnacentral:lncRNA from 1 species
UCUUGCAGGCACAGUGGACUUUCAAUGUGGAAACGGAGCGCCACUACCGCCAUCCCCUCCACUCCCACCCUUCAACGCUUCAAACCGUAAAUAUUUAUCAUUUUUUUAUCUACUAAAUAUUUAAUCGAAAGGCACUAUGUUUUACACAAUACGAGAAAAAAAUGAUGAAUAAUUAAUAUUGUGCAGCUUGUAAUCUUGUGUGGUGUGGCACUGGAUCCUGCGUGGCUAACGAAACUAGCAACAGUCACUCCUGCCAAUGCAACGAAGGGUUUGCCAAUUUGUUUAAUAACCCUUCCUUUGCUUGUUUUGAGCAAUGUAAGUUGCCUUAUUUUCCAUUACAUUUACGUAAAAUUUUAAGUACACGACGUAUACAUGUCUUUACUGAAACUCGAAUAUCGGGUUCUGUUUUCAGGCUACUUGGGUGCAGAUUGUAAGAACCUGGGAUUAGGCCCGCCUCCACCGCCACCCAGUACUAGUUCCGGCUCGCCAAUAAACGGUACGAACUACGAAGGAACACGAAGCAUAUGGCCCUGUUUUGUUGAGUAUUUUUUCUGCGUACAAUUUGUGCUAAAAACACCUGAUAACACUGUAUCUUUUUUUUUUUUGGGCUGCAGGUUCUAAUGGAGCAUCCAACAACAUGAAGAAUUUUCUAGCACUGGUUCUGGCAUUAGUUUUUUUACAUAAUUUUAGCAAGUAGAUAAAUUCUAGGGAGGUGAAAAUAGGCGGCACACAUUUUAUGCCUCGCUAACUUGUAUACAUUUAUUUUUCAGUUAUUUUGAAAUAUAGGUCGUUCAC